AACGAACGCUGGCGGCAUGCCUAACACAUGCAAGUCGAACGAGAUCUUCGGGUCUAGUGGCGCACGGGUGCGUAACGCGUGGGAAUCUGCCCUUUGGUUCGGGAUAACAGUUGGAAACGACUGCUAAUACCGGAUGAUGACGAAAGUCCAAAGAUUUAUCGCCAGAGGAUGAGCCCGCGUAGGAUUAGCUAGUUGGUGUGGUAAAGGCGCACCAAGGCGACGAUCCUUAGCUGUCUGAGAGGAUGAUCAGCCACACUGGGACUGAGACACGGCCCAGACUCCUACGGGAGGCAGCAGUGGGGAAUAUUGGACAAUGGGCGAAAGCCUGAUCCAGCAAUGCCGCGUGGGUGAUGAAGGCCUUAGGGUUGUAAAGCUCUUUUACCCGGGAUGAUAAUGACAGUACCGGGAGAAUAAGCUCCGGCUAACUCCGUGCCAGCCGCCGCCGUAA
rnacentral:rRNA from 1 species